rnacentral:rRNA from 1 species
GACGAACGCUGGCGGCGUGCUUAACACAUGCAAGUCGAACGGAAAGGCCCUGCUUUUGUGGGGUGCUCGAGUGGCGAACGGGUGAGUAACACGUGAGUAACCUGCCCUUGACUUUGGGAUAACUUCAGGAAACUGGGGCUAAUACCGGAUAGGAGCUCCUGCUGCAUGGUGGGGGUUGGAAAGUUUCGGCGGUUGGGGAUGGACUCGCGGCUUAUCAGCUUGUUGGUGGGGUAGUGGCUUACCAAGGCUUUGACGGGUAGCCGGCCUGAGAGGGUGACCGGCCACAUUGGGACUGAGAUACGGCCCAGACUCCUACGGGAGGCAGCAGUGGGGAAUAUUGCACAAUGGGCGGAAGCCUGAUGCAGCAACGCCGCGUGCGGGAUGACGGCCUUCGGGUUGUAAACCGCUUUCGCCUGUGACGAAGCGUGAGUGACGGUAAUGGGUAAAGAAGCACCGGCUAACUACGUGCCAGCAGCCGCGGUGAUACGUAGGGUGCGAGCGUUGUCCGGAUUUAUUGGGCGUAAAGGGCUCGUAGGUGGUUGAUCGCGUCGGAAGUGUAAUCUUGGGGCUUAACCCUGAGCGUGCUUUCGAUACGGGUUGACUUGAGGAAGGUAGGGGAGAAUGGAAUUCCUGGUGGAGCGGUGGAAUGCGCAGAUAUCAGGAGGAACACCAGUGGCGAAGGCGGUUCUCUGGGCCUUUCCUGACGCUGAGGAGCGAAAGCGUGGGGAGCGAACAGGCUUAGACACCCUGGUAGUCCACGCUGUAAACGGUGGGUACUAGGUGUGGGGUCCAUUCCACGGGUUCCGUGCCGUAGCUAACGCUUUAAGUACCCCGCCUGGGGAGUACGGCCGCAAGGCUAAAACUCAAAGGAAUUGACGGGGCCCCGCACAAGCGGCGGAGCAUGCGGAUUAAUUCGAUGCAACGCGUAGAACCUUACCUGGGUUUGACAUGGAUCGGGAGUGCUCAGAGAUGGGUGUGCCUCUUUUGGGGUCGGUUCACAGGUGGUGCAUGGCUGUCGUCAGCUCGUGUCGUGAGAUGUUGGGUUAAGUCCCGCAACGAGCGCAACCCUUGUUCACUGUUGCCAGCACGUUAUGGUGGGGACUCAGUGGAGACCGCCGGGGUCAACUCGGAGGAAGGUGGGGAUGACGUCAAGUCAUCAUGCCCCUUAUGUCCAGGGCUUCACGCAUGCUACAAUGGCUGGUACAGAGAGUGGCGAGCCUGUGAGGGUGAGCGAAUCUCGGAAAGCCGGUCUCAGUUCGGAUUGGGGUCUGCAACUCGACCUCAUGAAGUCGGAGUCGCUAGUAAUCGCAGAUCAGCAACGCUGCGGUGAAUACGUUCCCGGG